rnacentral:lncRNA from 1 species
CAGUGAUGCUCUCUACAUUGGUGAGCUAUGCUGGAGGAGUAGACUCCCUGGAUCGUGCACAGACUUGUGGUGAUUAGUGGAGUGAUUUCUUCCUUGGUUCUUCACUAAGGAGACUCUCUCUGUUCGUUGGCAUGUAGAUGGGACACUCCUUUCAGAGUGAGUUCUGGUGAGAUUCUUGGUGGUCUGCCUCAUAUACACUGAAGGUUUUCGGUGGAUUCUUCAGCUUCUCCAGGUUCUUCAGAUUUUGACUUCCUAAUUAGUACUUUGGAUUCUGUGUUUGAACCCAGGCCUCAGAACCUCAAGAGCAUCUCUGAAGAAUAUACCCACUGGAUACUAAAGUCUUUUCAUGGCAAAGAAGGUGAGAAGUUUUCUGUGUUCCGGGCUAAAAGUACCAUCUCUGGAUGAUCGUGUCCAGAUCUGAGUUCCAUCCCGAAAAGCUAGUGCACAUCUAGAAGAUGAGAAAAUGUGAAAGAAAUGGAGAAUACACCAUGCAAGGAACAGAGGAGAUGUCACCUAGAGAAGACAACUGGAGGUAAAGAAAGACAUCCUGGAAUUAUGUCAAGG